AUUUUCCCACUUAUCAACUAUAUCACCACACUCAGGACAGCAUAUACCAUCAGAACUACUUAAUCAAGCAUAAAUCUCUUAUCCUACCAUGUCCCUUAUUACAAUACAUACCCAAAACGCAAGAGGCUUGAACACCCCCGAAAAAAGAUCAAUAGCACUAUCAGACUUCCGUAGAUAUAAAGCACAAAUUGUUUUCAUCCAAGAAACUCAUUUCCGCAAAAACUCACCUCCUAAACUACAAAACAAAGACUACCCAAAAGGAUACUUUAG